AUUGAACGCUGGCGGCAGGCCUAACACAUGCAAGUCGAGCGGAAGAAGGGAGCUUGCUCCUGGAUUCAGCGGCGGACGGGUGAGUAAUGCCUAGGAAUCUGCCUGGUAGUGGGGGAUAACGUCCGGAAACGGGCGCUAAUACCGCCUACGUCCUGCGGGAGCAAGUGGGGGAUCUUCGGACCUCACGCUAUCAGAUGAGCCUAGGUCGGAUUAGCUAGUUGGUGGGGUAAAGACCUACUAAGGGGACUAUCGGCAACUGGUCUGAGAGGAUGAUCAGUCACACUGGAAGUGGAACGCGGUCCUGACGACUGAGAGAGGGAGCAGUGGGGAAUGGUGGACAGUGGGGGGAAGUCUGGUCCAGCCGUCCGGCGUGUGUGAAAGAGACCUUGGGAUUGUAAAGAACGUUUAGGGGGGGGAAAGGGCAGUAAGUUGUGACCUAGCGUUUUUGACGGUAAUAGCAGAAGAAGCACCGGCUAACUACGUG
rnacentral:rRNA from 1 species